rnacentral:rRNA from 1 species
CAGUAGCCGCGGUAAUACGGAGGGAGCUAGCGUUGUUCGGAAUUACUGGGCGUAAAGCGCGCGUAGGCGGUUACACAAGUCAGAGGUGAAAGCCCGGGGCUCAACCCCGGAACUGCCUUUGAAGCUAGGUGACUAGAAUCUUGGAGAGGUCAGUGGAAUUCCGAGUGUAGAGGUGAAAUUCGUAGAUAUUCGGAAGAACACCAGUGGCGAAGGCGACUGACUGGACAAGUAUUGACGCUGAGGUGCGAAAGCGUGGGGAGCAAACAGGAUUAGAUACCCCGGUAGUCCCUGUCUCUUAUAC